UAAUACAGAGGGUGCGAGCGUUAAUCGGAAUUACUGGGCGUAAAGGGUGCGUAGGUGGUUAGUUAAGUUAGAUGUGAAAUCCCUGGGCUUAACCUAGGAAUGGCAUUUAAGACUGAUUGGCUAGAGUUUGGGAGAGGGAAGUGGAAUUUCCGGUGUAGCGGUGAAAUGCGUAGAUAUCGGAAGGAACAUCAGUGGCGAAGGCGACUUCCUGGCCCGAUACUGACACUGAGGCACGAAAGCGUGGGGAGCGAACAGGAUUAGAUACCCUGGUAGUCCACGCCGUAAACGAUGAGAACUAGAUGUUAGGGAGCUUGACUCUUUAGUAUCGAAGCAAACGCGAUAAGUUCUCCGCCUGGGGAGUACGGCCGCAAGGUUA
rnacentral:rRNA from 1 species